rnacentral:rRNA from 1 species
CCCUUAGAUGUUCUGGGCCGCACGCGCGCUACACUGAUGCAUUCAACGAGUCUAAAACCUGCUCUGAUAGGGGUGGGUAAUCUUUUGAAUGUGCAUCGUGAUUGGGAUAGAUGAUUGCAAUUUUUCAUCUUCAACGAGGAAUGCCUAGUAAACGCAAGUCAUCAUCUCGCGUUGAUUACGUCCCUGCCCUUUGUAUACACCGCCCGUCGCACCUACCGAUUGAAUGGUCCGGUGAAGCCUCCGGAUUGCGCGGCUUCGGCUGUCGCGAGAAGUUGGCUAAACCUUACCAUUUAGAGGAAGGUGAAGUCGUAACA